CUGACUUUUCAUAGGCUUCAUUUUUCCACUCAUCCACCGCGCUAAAUUCAUCACAUCUCCUGUAAGAUUCUGCCACGUGUUCCAACGGUUAACACGUGUCAGAAUCAUACAUUGAUCACACAGUAGCGUCCCACCGUACAGAUCUCUCCUUCUCCACUAGCUCUGAAGUUGCGGUCCUAUAGCGCACCAAAGACCAUAAACGCAUACACAGGGUAAGCAAAGAAAGAGAGAGAGAGAAUGGAAGGAGGUAGGAGAGUGGGUGUGGCAGUGGAUUUCUCGCCUUGCAGCAGGAAAGCUCUAAACUGGGCGGUGGAUAACCUCGUCCGCGACGGGGAUCACCUUAUCCUAAUUGCCAUACGCCCGGAAGGGAACUAUGAAGAGGGAGAGAUGCAACUCUGGGAGGUCACUGGUUCCCCUUUAAUCCCUAUUCAUGAGUUUUCUGAUCCUGCGAUUAUGAAGAAGUAUGGACUGAAGCCUGAUCCAGAAACCCUGGAUAUUGCAAACACUGCAGCCAACCAGAAACAGGUUGUUGUGGUUAUGAAGAUCUUCUGGGGUGAUCCUCGCGAGAAGAUAUGUGAAGCUAUCGAUAAGGUUCCUUUGAGCUGCCUUGUUAUGGGGAACAGAGGGCUUGGCAAGAUUAAGAGGGCUAUAUUGGGCAGUGUAAGCAACUAUGUGGUGAAUAAUGGAACGUGCCCUGUUACUGUUGUGAAGCAGACAGACUAUGAGAGCUAAAUUUCUUUUGCUAAACAGCAUCCUAUCGUUCAUAGGAUAUAUGAGUGGAUUGGAUUCCAUCAAAUAAUUGUGUUGCUUGCAACUCUCUUUCAAGCUGGAAAGUUUCUUAGUUUGUGUGGAUGUUGUCAUGAUGGUGUUCGAAUAAGUGAGAAUUUAGUGUAAUCCAACCCUUUUUCACAAUGAGAUUUCUUGCGACUUCUAAAAUGGCUAAUAUGCAUGCUGUGUAAUUUAGUGUUUAAAAGGCGUUUCUCUUAAACAGAUGAAAUUUUAACAACUAUCCAUUGACUUCAUGUUGCUUUGCUGUAUAAAUUUUGUAUGUUGAUCGGUAUAGUGUACAAGUGAGGCAUGAGAAUUGAGAUGAAUUAAAAAUAAUUGGAUUUUUAGAGUGAUUCGGAAGUGGAAGCUGAUUGUAUUUAACUUGCAAGUGAAGUGUCCUUCUGCGUGCUGCAGAAUUUUUUCUUGGAUUUUUA
rnacentral:misc_RNA from 1 species